rnacentral:rRNA from 1 species
AACGCGAAGAACCUUACCUGGGCUUGAACCGCUACUGACCAACGGUAGAAAUAUCGUCUUCCCGCAAGGGACAGUAGUAGAGGUGCUGCAUGGCUGUCGUCAGCUCGUGCCGUGAGGUGUUGGGUUAAGUCCCGCAACGAGCGCAACCCUUACUCGUAGUUGCUACCCGCAAGGGAGAACUCUACGAGGACUGCUCCGGAUAACGGAGAGGAAGGUGGGGAUGACGUCAAGUCAGCACGGCCUUUAUGUCCAGGGCUACACACGUGUUACAAUGCAUGGUACAGACUGUUGCGAACCCGCGAGGGGGAGCUAAUCGGCCAAAGCCAUGCUCAGUUCGGAUUGCAGUCUGCAACUCGACUGCAUGAAGCUGGAAUCGCUAGUAAUGGCGCAUCAGAUCGGCGCCGUGAAUACGUUCCCGGGCCUUGUA